rnacentral:rRNA from 1 species
GAUGAACGCUGGCGGCGUGCCUAAUACAUGCCAGUCGAGCGAACGGACGAGAAGCUUGCUUCUCUGAUGUUAGCGGCGGACGGGUGAGUAACACGUGGAUAACCUACCUAUAAGACUGGGAUAACUUCGGGAAACCGGAGCUAAUACCGGAUAAUAUUUUGAACCGCAUGGUUCAAAAGUGAAAGACGGUCUUGCUGUCACUUAUAGAUGGAUCCGCGCUUCAUUAGAUAGUUGGUAAGGUAACGGCUUACCACGGCGACGAUGCGUAGCCGAACUGAGAGGCGGAUAGCCGGCACGGGAGCUGGGCCACCGUCCAUGGGCCUACGGGAGGGACCAGUCGGCAACGGGAGGCAGCAGGCGGGAGCAUGACGCAGUAAGGCGGAGUGAGUUACGGCGGUGUUGGGAUCGUGAAAACGGCUUAUUAGUGAAGAACCGCUGUGUAAGGAAAUGUGCACAGCUUGACGGUAAUUAAUCAGAAAGCACCGGCUAACUACGUG